rnacentral:rRNA from 1 species
AUUGAACGCUGGCGGCAGGCCUAACACAUGCAAGUCGAACGGUAACAGGGAUCUGCUUGCUGAUUCGCUGACGAGUGGCGGACGGGUGAGUUAUGUCUGGGAAACUGCCUGAUGGAGGGGGUUAACAACCGGAAACGGAUGCUACUACCGCCUAACGUCGCAAGCCCAAGGAGGGGGGCAUCCGUCCCUCUCGCAUGCGGCUUGUCCCGGUUGGGAUUAGCUAGUAGGUGGGGUAACGGCUUACCUAGGCGACGAUCCCUAAUUGGUCUGAGAGGAUGAUCAGCCACACUGGAACUGAGACACGGUCCAGACUCCUACGGGAGGCAGCAGUGGGGAAUAUUGGACAAUGGGCGCAAGCCUGAUGCAGCCAUGCCGCGUGUAUGAAGAAGGCCUUCGGGUUGUAAAGUACUUUCAGCGGGGAGGAAGGGAGUAAAGUUAAUACCUUGGCUCAUUGACGUUACCCGCAGAAGAAGCACCGGCUAACUACGUG